rnacentral:lncRNA from 1 species
CAGAGUUUUUAUUAAAUUUUAAAAACAUCUUUCAGUUUUGAUGUUCAUAUUUUGUUUUUCAGGAAACACCAUUGGUAUGAAGCAAUAGAAGCCACUUAAAUCUGUAGGAAGAAAAAAAAGAAAAAAAGAAAAUGCAGUUAUAUCAACCAAAAUGUCCCUACAAAGUUGCCCAGAUUCAAAGGGUACAGUGAUAAGAGCUUGGACCUUCAAGUCAGAGAAUUUUAGUACUAUUGGACAAACCCCAGUGCACUAUUUAAGAAACAAUACAGUAAGUAUUUUCUUAUUAUUCACAAUGUGUAAUAUAGGAAUAGUUGAGUAGUUUGU